rnacentral:snRNA from 1 species
CCUGUUGAGCUUGACUCUA